AACUUGAAAUACUUCUCUUUAAAAAAUCUGAAAUAUACAUAUUAAAAAAGAUUGUUAUCCAGAGAGAAAAAAUAAGCUCAUGAUUUAUGUAUUAUUUUUCUGUAAUUAAAAAUUUGCACCGAUAUCCAGUAAUAUAAAACCAUUUCAUUGGAGUUGAAGCUCAUUGGUUAACCCAGACAGAGCUAGCAUCCUAUUGGAGCAGUAAGGCUUGAUCCCGCCUUUCUUCUAGAAGUAAGUGGAAAACUAGAGGAGAAACAGCCAGAACAAAAUGGUGGUGUGGAGCUUAGGAGAUAGUUGGAUAGCUGGGGAAAAAAAUACAGCCUAAACCCUAAAUUAUAUGGUGUUCAUGGUGCUUUCCAGCAGCAGAGGUCCAAAACUGAUAAUUGUGAGGAUUAUUUGAUCCUUUUCUGUUUAAUUUGGCUAGGUUUUUGAGAGACCCUGAAAGUACCUGGAUCCUGGAUUCUCUCCCUUCUGGGGAGAUGGCGAGCCACCCAAAUUCAGUUCCUGACCGAAGAAGGAGGAAGACAAGCUGUUGAUUUCACUGUUGCAAACGCUGAUGUUUGUGGUAGGAACGGAUUCACCUACAACAUUGUUUUUUUUUUUUUCAUCUUUUCCUGGAUUUCAUCAGAGGGGUAGGACCUUGCCUUAAUGCCCAUUCUCCAUUUAUUUUAUUUGUUACUUUGAAGGUGCACCCAACAAUGGACAUUGACAUUUACUAGACAUUUUCUAUAUACUUUGAAUGCCGGCUUAUUUGUUAUUUGUUGUUGUUUAAUUUAAAUACAUUUCAAUCUCAUACCAUA